GGGGUCGUCUUGGCUUCGACGGGAAUAACAGGGAUUUAAAUAGCAAGUCGCUUUAUCUACGUCACAGAUUAAAAUAAAAAUAACUGGAAACAGUAGAAACACAGCUGUUGCUUACGCCUAGUUUAAGGUGCAACAGGUUCCUCUAUUCUUUUGCUUACGAAGAAUAACAGGGACUCAUAACUAGUAAGCUAUAUUAUGUAGACGACUAUAAUACAUAAUGAAUACUAUAGUCUAGUAAUUAUUAAUAUUUGUUAGUUAAUAAAAUAAUUAUGAAACCAUUUAACUAACUAAACUUGUAGAAGUUUAAAUUACUUUAUUUUCGGACAGGGGUUCGAUUCCCCUCGACUCCACCA
rnacentral:tmRNA from 1 species